GUGCUCGCUUCAGCAGCACACAUACUAAAAUGGAAUAAUACACAGAAGAUCACCAUGGCCCCAGUGCAAUAAUGACACACAAAUUUGUUAAGAAUUCCAUAUUUUA
ensembl:snRNA U6 U6 spliceosomal RNA